GUAACACGUAUGCAACCUACCCUUUACUGGGGCAUAGCUCAGAGAAAUCUGAAUUAAUUCCCCAUAAUACAAUUGAAUGGCAUCAUUUGAUUAUUAAAGCUGAGGCGGUAAAGGAUGGGCAUGCGUUGCAUUAGCUAGUUGGUGAGGUAAUGGCUCACCAAGGCUACGAUGCAUAGGGGUUCUGAGAGGAUGAUCCCCCACACUGGUACUGAGCCACGGACCAGACUCCUACGGGAGGCAGCAGUAGGGAAUAUUGGUCAAUGGACGCAAGUCUGAACCAGCCAUGCCGCGUGCAGGAAGACGGCCCUCUGGGUUGUAAACUGCUUUUAUAUGGGAAGAAACCUCAUUAUGCGUAAUGAACUGACGGUACCAUAUGAAUAAGGAUCGGCUAACUUCGUGCCAGCAGCCGCGGUAAGACGAAGGAUCCAAGCGUUGUCCGGAUUUACUGGGUUUAAAGGGUGCGUAGGCGGAAUUUUAAGUCAGUGGUGAAAGUCCUUCGCUCAACGAAGGAACUGCCAUUGAAACUGAAAUUCUUGAAUACGGUUGAGGUAGAUGGAAUAUAACAUGUAGCGGUGAAAUGCUUAGAUAUGUUAUAGAACACCGGUUGCGAAGGCAGUCUACUAAGCCGUGAUUGACGCUGAGGCA
rnacentral:rRNA from 1 species